rnacentral:rRNA from 1 species
UACGGAGGGGGGCUAGCGUUAUUCGGAAUUACUGGGCGUAAAGCGCACGUAGGCGGACUGUUAAGUCGGGGGGUGAAAUCCUGGGGCUCAACCUCAGAAUUGCCUCCGAUACUGGCAGUCUCGAGUGCGGGAGAGGUGAGUGGAAUUCCCAGUGUAGAGGUGAAAUUCGUAGAUAUUGGGAAGAACACCAAUGGCGAAAGGCAGCUCUCUGGCUCGGUACUGACGCUGAGGUGCGGAAAGCGUGGGGAGCAAACAGG